rnacentral:rRNA from 1 species
AACGAACGCUGGCGGCAUGCCUAACACAUGCAAGUCGAACGAGACCUCCGGGUCUAGUGGCGCAUGGGUGCGUCACGCGUCGGAACCUGCCCUUAUGUUCGGAAUACCUCCCCGUAAGGGGUGCUAAUACCGGAUAAUGUCUUCGGACCACAGAUGUAUCGCCAUUGGAUGGGCCGGCGUUGGAUUAGCUAGUUGGUAGGGUAAGAGCCUAUCACGGCAACACUAGAUAGCUGGUUAGAGAGACAGAGCCGCCACGCUGGGACGGAGACGCGGCCCAGACUAUUACGGGAGGCAGGAGUGGGGAAUAUUGCAAAACCGGGGAAAGCCUGAUCCAGCAAGGCCGGGUGAGUGAUGAAGGUCUUAGGGUAGAAAAGCUCUUUUACCCGGGAUGAUAAUGACAGUACCGGGAGAAUAAGCACCGGCUAACUCCGUG